UUUACCUCCAUGGCGGGGCCGCUCGGCUGCAGGGGCGGGGAGAGCGCGGCGGCGGCACCGCAGCCGCUGUCAGCACCGCUACAUCUUCCCCGACCCACUUCCGCCUCCGUCAUCCCCGCACGCCACGCCACUGAACUGCAGCUGUAUGAAGCAUUACUUAAGGAAGUGAGAGCAAAGGUGACUUCCCCAAUGUGAUUCCCUUACUCUAUGAAGCCUCUAGCCUUGCAGUGGCUGUGCAGCUCCCUUUCAGACUAGGCUUCAGCCACCAUCAGCAUUUUGCAGUUCUGAUAGCCCCAGAAUUUUUGCCAGAUGCUGUAGGAGACUGAUGUGCCAAGACUCAAGUUUGUUCUGUGAUGAGCAACCGGCAGUGAAAACAGAUGCAGCCCAAGAGCAGAUAUAACCAAAGAGCUAGCUUAUGGAUCACAGGCGACGAUUGAAGUCUGGAGACCGAAAAUUGAAUUCUUGGCUGUACUGGUGGGUGCUCAAGUGCUACCCUGUGCUACUUCAGGCGCUAAAACAUCUUGACCUUUUAUCUGGAACAAUUAAAUUGAGUUUUGCUUAAGUGGCACAUCUGCUGUUCAAGCUGGGACUUGUUUGCAUGAAGACUGCCAUUCUCAGUUCAGAAGACAUUUGCUUAUCCAACCAAAUUAUAACUCCAGUUUCCUUUUUACAAACAUCUGUUUGGAGGCAGGAAAAUCUCUCUGGAUGUGAAGCUUCAGAAAGCAGCUUCGAAAUUUUCAUGCAGUGUUGACCUUGUGAUCAUUAGCCAAAUUCCUCUCUGAAAUUCUGCAAGCCCCAACAAUAUUACUUCCUGAGUCAAGUGCUGCUUGGUUCUAGGAAAUCCUUGUAUGACUAUGUCACAAAUUAAAGAAAGGAAACCAGAUGCUACAAACAAGCAAAAUUUGAACGUCAAGAAUGAUGUAAGACAUAAGGAUUCCUAAUGAAAUUAAAGAACAGAAGAUUGCAAAUUAAAAAACUACAGGGGACUGAUCUCAAGAUAUAGCACCCAAAGCUGCUGUCCCAGAACAGGGUAUGCAGGAACUGAUGGCUGAUUUCACUUCACAUUCACCAGCAGGCAGCCAACACUUAGCAAAUCUAAUUCAGAAAGUAAGGUAAGAACACUCAUAUAAGGAGCCUUCUCACACUUGUCAGAAGCGUGAGCACUUCGUCAUAUAAGUGCAAAAGUGGGUCAGAAAUAAAGAUUUUUUUUUU